GACAGAGGGUGCAAACGUUGUUCGGAAUUACUGGGCGUAAAGCGCGUGUAGGCUGCCCCGCAAGUCAGGUGUGAAAGCCCUGGGCUCAACCUAGGAAGUGCACUUGAAACUGCGGGGAUCGAGGGCUGGAGAGGGAAGCGGAAUUCCCAGUGUAGAGGUGAAAUUCGUAGAUAUUGGGAAGAACAUCGGUGGCGAAGGCGCUCUGCUGGACCAUAACUGACACUCAGGGACGAAAGCUAGGGGAGCGAAUGGG
rnacentral:rRNA from 1 species